rnacentral:rRNA from 1 species
UACGAAGGUGGCAAGCGUUGUUCGGAAUCACUGGGCAUAAAGCGCGUGUAGGCGGCUAGGUAAGUCGGGUGUGAAAUCCCUCAGCUCAACUGAGGAACUGCGCCCGAAACUACCUUGCUUGAGGUCUGGAGGGGAGAGUGGAAUUCCCGGUGGAGCGGUGAAAUGCGUAGAUAUCGGGAGGAACGCCGGUGGCGAAAGCGACUCUCUGGACAGAUCCUGACGCUGAGACGCGAAAGCUAGGGGAGCAAACGGG